rnacentral:rRNA from 1 species
GCAUAUCAAUAAGCGGAGGAAAAGAAACCAACAGGGAUUACCUCAGUAACGGCGAAGUGAAGCGGUAACAGCUCAAAUUUGAAAUCUGGCCCUUUUAGGGUCCGAGUUGUAAUUUGUAGAAGAUGCUUUGGGCGUGGCUCCGGUCUAAGUUCCUUGGAACAGGACGUCAUAGAGGGUGAGAAUCCCGUAUGUGACUGGUAGCUUUCGCCCGUGUAAAGCUCUUUCGACGAGUCGAGUUGUUUGGGAAUGCAGCUCAAAAUGGGUGGUAAAUUUCAUCUAAAGCUAAAUAUUGGCCAGAGACCGAUAGCGCACAAGUAGAGUGAUCGAAAGAUGAAAAGCACUUUGGAAAGAGAGUUAAACAGUACGUGAAAUUGUUGAAAGGGAAGCGCUUGCAACCAGACUCGCAGGCCGUCGAUCAUCUCAGGUUCUCCUGGGUGCACUCGGCGGUCUUCGGGCCAGCAUCGGUUUGGGUGGUGGGAUAAAGGCCUUGGGAAUGUAGCUUCUUUCGGGGAGUGUUAUAGCCCUCGGUGCAAUGCCGCCUACCCGGACCGAGGACCGCGCUUCGGCUAGGAUGCUGGCGUAAUGGUUGUAAGCGACCCGUCUUGAAACACGGACCAAGGAGUCUAACAUCUAUGCGAGUAUUUGGGUGUUAAACCCAUAUGCGUAAUGAAAGUGAACGGAGGUGAGAACCCUUAAGGGUGCAUCAUCGACCGAUCCUGAUGUCUUCGGAUGGAUUUGAGUAAGAGCAUAGCUGUUGGGACCCGAAAGAUGGUGAACUAUGCCUAAAUAGGGUGAAGCCAGAGGAAACUCUGGUGGAGGCUCGCAGCGGUUCUGACGUGCAAAUCGAUCGUCAAAUUUGGGUAUAGGGGCGAAAGACUAAUCGAACCAUCUAGUAGCUGGGUGCUGCGA